AUGAAGAACGUAGCGAAAUGCGAUACUUGGUGUGAAUUGCAGAAUCCCGUGAACCAUCGAGUCUUUGAACGCAAGUUGCGCCUGAGGCCAUUAGGCUGAGGGCACGUCUGCAUGGGCGUCACGC
rnacentral:rRNA from 2 species